rnacentral:rRNA from 1 species
ACAUGCAGUCGAACGAGUUCUCGUUGAUGAUCGGUGCUUGCACCGAGAUUCAACAUGGAACGAGUGGCGGACGGGUGAGUAACACGUGGGUAACCUGCCCUUAAGUGGGGGAUAACAUUUGGAAACAGAUGCUAAUACCGCAUAGAUCCAAGAACCGCAUGGUUCUUGGCUGAAAGAUGGCGUAAGCUAUCGCUUUUGGAUGGACCCGCGGCGUAUUAGCUAGUUGGUGAGGUAAUGGCUCACCAAGGCGAUGAUACGUAGCCGAACUGAGAGGUUGAUCGGCCACAUUGGGACUGAGACACGGCCCAAACUCCUACGGGAGGCAGCAGUAGGGAAUCUUCCACAAUGGACGCAAGUCUGAUGGAGCAACGCCGCGUGAGUGAAGAAGGCUUUCGGGUCGUAAAACUCUGUUGUUGGAGAAGAAUGGUCGGCAGAGUAACUGUUGUCGGCGUGACGGUAUCCAACCAGAAAGCCACGGCUAACUACGUGCCAGCAGCCGC